rnacentral:rRNA from 1 species
CCUACGGGUGGCAGCAGUGGGGAAUAUUGCACAAUGGGCGCAAGCCUGAUGCAGCCAUGCCGCGUGUGUGAAGAAGGCCUUCGGGUUGUAAAGCACUUUCAGCGGGGAGGAAGGCGGUGAGGUUAAUAACCUCAUCGAUUGACGUUACCCGCAGAAGAAGCACCGGCUAACUCCGGGCCAGCAGCCGCGGUAAUACGGAGGGUGCAAGCGUUAAUCGGAAUUACUGGGCGUAAAGCGCACGCAGGCGGUCUGUCAAGUCGGAUGUGAAAUCCCCGGGCUCAACCUGGGAACUGCAUUCGAAACAGGCAGGCUAGAGUCUUGUAGAGGGGGGUAGAAUUCCAGGUGUAGCGGUGAAAUGCGUAGAGAUCUGGAGGAAUACCUGUGGCGAAGGCGGCCCCCUGGACAAAGACUGACGCUCAGGUGCGAAAGCGUGGGGAGCAAACAGGAUUAGAUACCCUUGUAGUC